rnacentral:rRNA from 1 species
UACGGAGGGUGCGAGCGUUGCCCGGAUUUAUUGGGCGUAAAGCGUGCGCAGGCGGUGAUGUAAGACAGGUGUGAAAUCCCCGGGCUUAACCUGGGAACUGCAUUUGUGACUGCAUCGCUGGAGUGCGGCAGAGGGGGAUGGAAUUCCGCGUGUAGCAGUGAAAUGCGUAGAUAUGCGGAGGAACACCGAUGGCGAAGGCAAUCCCCUGGGCCUGCACUGACGCUCAUGCACGAAAGCGUGGGGAGCAAACAGG